ensembl:miRNA MIR4471 microRNA 4471
CCAAAUUUAAAACUUAAACCUCUACUAAGUUUCCAUGAAAAGAACCCAUGGGAACUUAGUAGAGGUUUAAGUUUUAAAUUUGA